rnacentral:rRNA from 1 species
AUUAAAGAGUUCUAUAACUCCCAAACCCAUGUGAACAUACCUAACGUUGCCUCGGCAGGUCGCACCUACCUUGUAGCACCCUACCCUGUAGGGCCUACCCGGGAGGUGCGGGUAAGCCUGCCGGCGGCCCACCAAACUCUGUUUGAUAUUGAAUUCUGAACCUAUAACUAAAUAAGUUAAAACUUUCAACAACGGAUCUCUUGGUUCUGGCAUCGAUGAAGAACGCAGCGAAAUGCGAUAAGUAAUGUGAAUUGCAGAAUUCAGUGAAUCAUCGAAUCUUUGAACGCAUAUUGCGCCCAUUAGUAUUCUAGUGGGCAGGACCGUUCGAGCGUCAUUUCAACCCUUAAGCCUUCGUUGCUUAGUGUUGGGAGCCUACGGCAACGUAGCUCCUCAAAGUUAGUGGCGGAGUUGGUUCACACUCUAGACGUAGUAAUUUUUUAUCUCGCCUAUUAGUUGGACUAAUCCCCUGCCGUAAAACCCCCAAUUUAUCAAGGUUGACCUCGAAUCGGUUCAGACAAACUCGCUAAAUUGAAGCAUCUUAGUCAGCGAAGGAAAAGAAACCAACAGGGAUUGCCCUAGUAACGGCGAGUGAAGCGGCAACAGCUCAAAUUUGAAAUCUGGCCCUCGGGUCCGAGUUGUAAUUUGUAGAGGAUGCUUUUGGCGCGGUGCCUUCCGAGUUC